UCCAGGUGAGCGGCUAUGCAUGAGAUCCAGGAACCAAUGCAUUUUCUCCUAUGAAAUGUGAGGGAGAAAUUUUCUAACAGCAUUAUACAGGGUCCCAGGCAACAGACAAUGGACAACUGAGCUGCACCUUGAAAUAUGAAUGAAUGUGGGUUUGGUUUGAAAAGCUAAGACAUCUGUUUAUCCAGUGCAUACAGAAUAACUCUCAUGUCUCCUCAUCUCUGAAGAUUUCAAAGGCUUUCAUUCUGGUUUAAAUCCUUUGAAGAAGCAGUAAUCAAAGACAAAAAUUAUCAGAGGUUCUGGAAUCCAUGCCUGCCUCUCAGCUACACCAACCUUCAAAACUAUUGCUCAGCUGAAGCCUCAAAUCGGCCCCCUCUGAUUUAACAAACACC